rnacentral:rRNA from 1 species
GGAUGUGGAAGCAUAGCGAUAUGUGAAGCUGACCAAUACUAAUUGCUCGUGAGGCUUGACUAUACAACACCCAAACAGUUGGG